GCCAACGGGGCGGGAGCUGCUGCCGCGGUCGGGAUGCCCUCAUCCCAUCCUCACCUCCCGCCUUCUCUGGAGGGAGCGGCAUGUGGCUGCCUCGGCCUCCCACAGUGACCGCAGGACGACCCUUGGGUCAAUGCGUUCCUCGGGCAGGGAGGUUUCAUCGUCUUUUCGGUUAUAAAGAGUCAAGUUUAAAAAAAAAAAAAAUCUGCCUUAAUGACUUCAGAAUCGUCAAGCACUUUAUGUGAAGCAUGCCGUUAAGCUAUCCUCUACGAGACCCAGGAUAUGGUUUUUACCAUUGGGAAGUAUUGAGGGGUACCUAAGAAGAAUCAGAAAUUGUCCUAUGAAGGGAAGAAGAGGAGGACAAAAAAAGGCUGGAAGAUUUGGAAACCCUGAAAACAGUCACCGGAUAAUUUCCAUGCACAAUAAAAAGAGCAAAAGUGUUGGGCAGCAGCUCAGAUGCCUGAUGAAGGCUGUUGUGUCUGUACUGCACAUUAUAAAGGACCAUAUAUUAGUGACUGGUGUCAACUCAGGUUGAUAUUUUGAUAUGUAAUGUAUUAUCCAAGUGGUUUCCCCAGUAAUGUGACAUAAUUAAGAAAAUCACAGGAAAAAAAAGACUGGUGAACUUUCUGUCCCUCAGCAGAUGAAAAUUUGACCGUGCCUUUUCUAUUUCUUUAUUCUGUAUUGACACCUUGCCUCUGUCCCCAUAUGGUCAAGUUCUUCUGAAAAAAUUUUCAUUUUUUAGAGUCACUACCAAAGCUGUAAUCACAGCUAGGUUGAACACCAUGCUUCACCAGCCCAAGGCAACUUAAAUUAAUUGUUUUCGUGUGACUCAGUGGCAAAUAUAAAUUACAGCACCCUUGACCCUGUUGCAAAGUCUCCUUUUUUCCUGAUGUCUUUCAGUUUGAAGAUAAAAACUGUCACAGUUCUUUUUAGGCAGCAACUUUUCAAUAGCCAUUAGUGAAAAACACUAAAUUUAACAUUGUGUGCUUUCUUAUGUAGAACAAUGUAGACUUUUCAGGAAUUACACAACGCUUUUGUAAAGUUCUUUCUCACUAAUCUAUAGAAAUGCUACUAAAGAUAUCCUUGGAGAGAUUUAGGAAAGCAGUUUUUUGCUCCACUUCAAAUUAAAGGAAAUAAAAGCAUGUAAAUUCAGCACUGUUAUUAGCUCAAUAACAGGAGUGCUAUAUACUUCAUCAUAAAUAUGUUUUCUUGUGUUGGAGUGGGUAAAUUUUUUUUUCCUAAAAAUAACUUUCCCUCUCUUGCACAGCUCUCCUCUGGCCUGUAGGUGUCAUAGUCAGAAUAUGGAUGAAAUAGAUAAAUAUUAGUCUACUUACUUGAAAUAAAUUUCUGAAAAGCAAUGUUCUUGUUAGGUAAGUACUGUUAUUUAUUGAAGCUUUGGAAGUGGAGAAAUUACUCUAGUACUUAAACAAGCAUAAAAUAUAAUGGAUUUCACUGCACAUUCUCUACCUAUGAAGUUUCUUAUGUUUCUCAGGGAAAAAAACAUUUUUCUCAGAAUUCUUAACCUGAUGCCUCCAGCUUUGAACUUGCCUGUCUUGAUCCUGUUCUUUGUCCAUUUUUCUUUCGCCCUUGCUUCUUAAUAUCUAAGUCAGAUAAGAUCCAGAGAAGUGACUGAAAAUAUUAAAGAGCAGCAUGUUUCUAUUCUAGGCAAUAAAGUAUUGGACUGUAGGUGUAAUAAAGGUACAGGAUGAAGCACCAGUGAAUGCUAGGGAAAGUUGCCUGACCAGUAUGGUUGUCAGGACCAAUCCUAUGAUGGAGUGAUGGCAACUGUCAACAACAGAAGACCAACAGAUGUCAUCUAUCAAGAUUUCUGUAAGGCAUUUGACAUGGUGGCACAAGACAUCAUUGUCUUCUAACUGGAGAGACAUGGAUUUGAUGGAUGGACUGUUCAGUGGACAAGGAAUUGGCUGAAUGGAUGUAACCAGAGAGUUGGGCUCUUGUCUUGGGAUGGUGCUCUUUAGUAUUUAUAUCAAUGAAAUUGUGAGAUCGAGAGCACCCUCAACAAGUUUAAGUUCCAUGAAGCUGAGAAGUGCAGUUGUCACAAUAGAAGGAUGGGAUACCAUCUAUGGGAUAUGGACAAACUUGAGAAGUGGGCCCAUAGGAAUUUCAUUUAGUUCAACAAGUCCAGGUGCAAAGUGCUGCACCUGCCUCAGGGCAAUCCCAGACAUGAGUCCAGGCUGGGAGAAGAACUUGGUCUGGGGUCCUCAGCACAAGAGAGAUAUUACAUCUGUUAGAGCAAGUCCAGAGGAGGUCACAAAGAUACCCAGAGGAGAGGAUAACCUCUUCUGCAAGGGCAGCCUGAUAGAGUUGGAGUUGUUCAUCCUGGAGAAGGCUCCAUGGAGGCCUCUCUGACACCUUUCAGUUACAUUAAGAGGUGUUUAUUGAAGGAGGGAGGAAACUUUUUUAAAGGUAAAUAGUGACAGGACAAGGGGCAAUUGUUUUAAGCUAAAAGAGGACAGGUUUAAAUUAGUUCUUAGGAAGAAAUUUUUUUCUCUGAGGGUAGUGAUGCACUGGCACAGGUUGCCCAGAGAAGCUAUGGAUGUGCCAUCCAUGGAAGUGUUUGAGGCCAGGUUGGAAGGGCCCCUGAGCAACCUGAUUUAGUGAAUUAUCUCCCUGCUCAUGGAGGGGUAGGUAGAAACUUGGUGGUCUUUAAGGUCACUUCCUCCUACCCUCCCCAAGCUAUUCUAUGAUUCUGUAAAACAUCUAAGGAACCUAAGUUGUAUCAAAUUCUCAUAGUACAACCAAUUUUCAAACUCUGUUGCCUACUAAGCCGUUAAAGACAGCAAAAAUCAGAUUUAACCAAUCUAGGUUCAAGUCCUUCACUGGAGACCUAAAUUGAAAACCUUGUCACACUGUCUAAUUGAUGCAGUAUUCAAGCAUCAGCAGGAAAACAUUUGUCUACCCAAAAAGUCAAGAUCUCUCCAUCUGCAGGGAAAGCUACCAGUGAACUUCUAUCAUGACACCCAAAGUCAGGUGAAGUAGCGCUAAGUCAGUGUCACAUCGACAGUAGGGUAUAGUGGGAUCUGGUAACACAUUAAGAGGCUGCUUACAUAAAUGUUAUUUAAUCUACAAUUGCUAUGCAAACAACUUUGGAAAUUCUGGUUGGCCAAUGCUCAGCUCCUACAAUUUGGAAAAUGGACAUUCCUCCAGUAGAAGGUUCUGUGGGAUUUCUAGUUCAUCAAGGACAGAGAUGUUGGAGCCUUGGAUAUUUGUAAAACACAUAAAAAAUUAAUGCUUAGGAACCAUUUUGGUAAUGUUAUGUUAAAGCUUUCCCUUUAAUAACUGUUUAAAAAAUGGGGCUAGAAAAAGAAAGCUCUAUGUCCUGUGCAUAAAUGUGCAGUACAAGAGGGAUUAUAUUUUAAAGAAGAUUUAGGCAUGUGAUGAAUUAAAAAUUGAAUCAUUGUUAAGAACUAUGAAGCCCUCUUUACUAGAUAACACUGUCUAAGAUUUUCGUGCUGAUUACUGUAAGCAUUUUCAUUUAUAGAAAUAUCUAAUUUAAGGAUUUCCAAUUAUUGCAGCAUAAAACCAGACCUUUGUAAUUCAGAUCAAGAAAAGCCCAUCAAACAUACAAUGAGAAACCUAGACAUUUCUGUGACAUGUGGAUCUGUAUAUCAACAUAUUAUUGUAUUAAUUUAUUUGUGUAUUUUGAGAUAAUCAUACAGUCUUGUGCAGGAAUGAUGACUGUAUUUAUCUCAAUGUUAUUAAUUACACCAGCUAUCUGGAAUAAAAGAUUUAGCAUUUCCAUACCUAUAAAGAGCUAAAGGCUGCAUUUGGAAGGAAUAAUGGAUGCCAUCAGAAGAUUUUCAAAUCCAGUUCCAAUAGCUGGACAUUUCCACCCUGAUUGAAAUAUUUAAAAACCUCCUGAGAGUAGACUAACUGAAGCUUGCAACUCAUGCUCUAUAACAAUUUUAUUGCUGAUCAUAUUGCACAGUGACACAGUUCACUCAGCACUUUACCUGACUGUUACCCAUUAAUCAGCUGUAACACAAACAGCGCCAUGUAUUGGGAGUUUAUGAGAGUUGUCUGUUUUCUAGGACACCUCCAUCCCUGACACUAGAUAUGUCUGCCAGACACUAUGUGCUAUUAAGAGGAGACUGGAGCUGGGGUUUGUGGGGGGUUGUGGUUUGCCUGGUGGUCUUUUAUUUCAGUCUGUUGGGGGGCAGUCCAGUAAGAAAGUGCUGUAAAACUUACUGUGUAUUUGUCACUGUCAUGUUCUUGAAUUGGUGUUGCAGAAAAAGGUGCUCAAAGUCAUCUCUUUAAUUGUAAAGGCAUGAGAAAUAAGGCUACUACCCAUCAUUUCCAAUGAAAAGAAUAUUAGUUUAAGUUUUGGAAAUCUGGGGUCUGCUCUGGAUGUACCCACAAAGCUGGAAAAUCAUAAUGAUAUAUAGAAGUCUGAGAUUUGGAGAGAGUUUUAUUUUUCUUAUUGCUCAAACUAAUAUUGAUUGAAUGAAGAGGUCCUGCCUGUCUAUCUGCUGUAGAAAUGUGUUUGACUUUGUUAUGCAAAGUUUCACUGGCUAAACUCGAAGUGUAAGUGGCAUUGGGAAUCAUAUUGGGCUCUACCUAUGUUUGAAGGCUAUAUCUAAGGCAUGUUUCUUAUUCUGCCCCAUGGAAGAUUUCCAUAUUUUUCAGAGUGAGAGCGAUAUGAUAUGGCUUACAACAUGCAACUUUAUGCUUCUUCUGUACAGAUAUUUACACAUCUGAAGAAGUCAUAUUUUGCUCCCCUUAUAGAUAUUGGGUAUAAAUAAGACAAUUUAAAGGCAUGAUUUUUGACACAGAUAUAUGUUUCAAAAUUGUGUCUAUUUCUCCUCCAUGACUCUAAAGGUGCUCAAGACUAUUAAGUCAGAGAUAAACCUGCAUUUGUUCACAUAAACUGAACAAAAAAGUCCAGGCACAAGCAAUGAAAUAGCUAGAAACAUUUACUUCAGGGAAGUCUGAAUCAAUAAAAAUAUAAAGUUGGAUGAUGGGAAUCUUACUGUAUGUUUGUGCACUUGUAAGUAUAACUGACUUCUGCCAGAAUGACAACAGCCUGGUUAGAGUAGGUCAGGCAACGGAUUAAAUUGCAGUAAGUGCAACCAAGGACCAAUUGCUCAAAAAAUGUAAGAAAACCAAUCAGUUAUAUCAGGACAAAAAAUGUCCCCAUCAUCAAACUAGACCUUCCUAAGCUGGGUUUAGGGAAACUCCUCUUUAGGAUGGAGAUGUUACUGGUGAAAAGAGAAAACUUUCUUCAUAAGGUGCUGGGAGAACAAGUGGAAUGAAAAGAGCUUGGAAAAAGUUUGUAGAAAAAAAAGCUUGAAUAUUUUAUUUUCUUCUUUAUAAACCUUGAAGAUUUUUUAUUUCUUUCUCAAUCUAGGUAUUUCUUGUGCCCUUGUAACUGGUUGUACAACUGUUGUUGUAACUGUUUUAGUUACCUUUUUCAUAGCUAGUCAGCACAUGAGUCACAUUUGUUUUCGCAGACACAGUAACUUAACUGUUGCUACUAAAGAGAUGCACCAAAGAUUUUCUACCAGACACAAAGUUUCCCAUUCCCCAGGAUAGUUAGUUAAAGCAAUAGCAUCAAUGUUGAGACAAAUUCAGAACUUUUUCUUUCUUUAAUGAAAGACAAGGAAAACAAAAACCAAAACAAUAAACAAGCACAAAUCCCAUAUGAGGCUCACGUUAGAAUACUUCCAUCAUUUUCAUUUGAAAAAAAAUGUAACUGAGUAACGAGUCCAGCAGCCUUACUCAGCAACUUUACAUGUAUGGGCAAAAAUAUUAAUGCAUGCAAAUUGCAUUGGUGACAGGAAUAUUCUCAUGAGUGUAACUGCGCUUAUUCUUGAUGUUUCCUUUUACAACUAAGAUGUAACCCCUCAAUAAUCUCAAUAAUACUGUAAUGCCUGUGGUUCUGAGGCACAUGUCACUUGGGAGACUUGCCUAGCUCCAUUGCUUUUAACCCUGAUAAGUAAUUAGAAUCUAAUUUAUGAAUGCCUCAUAUCAGGAAAGGAAUCUGAAUUUGUUUAAAAGAGUCCUUGUCAGGAAGUUUUCCUUAAGCAAAAAAUUUACAAAGUGUCUUUGCAACCAAUAUUUCUUAAUUCUGUGAAGAAAGAAAACCAAAUUUGUGUAGCUCUUUCAAGACCCCAGUAACUUUAGAAUUAUUUUUGUUUUAGUUAUUAGUGGUGGGUUGGGGUUUUUUUGGGUAGUUUUUUUAGGUUUUGCUUAUUUUAACGUUCCUUUGAGGAAGAAUUAUUAGGUGCAGCACAUCUCAAUCAUCCUUUGACUUGGUAUAUUUUUGUAUAACAGUUUGGCAAGCAGUGAGAACUCUAGAUUUGGGGUUUUCUUUUGGUUUGUUUAUUUUUUUUUGUUUGUUUGUUUGUUUUGGUUUUCUGGUUUUUUUUGUUUUUUUUUUCCUUGCUUGCUUUUAUUGUGGGGUUUUUGGCAUGUGUGCAUAAAGUUAUUAUUUAUUUAGGGGUUUUCUAUGAGUUAGUAAUAUUCCCAUUCUUCUGGGGAACCUUUGACUGAAUGAACUUCAGAAACUGCUGUUUCAAUAUGCUACAAUAUCUUAGAGCUUCUUCUCUCAAGUACAUAAUAUUAAAAUGUUAACUAAAUAAAAAUAAUAGGAGCUGUUUUGAGGGAACUGCUGCAGGCUUCCUAUUGUGUCUUCUCCUUAGUAUAAACACAGGUAUAAAAAUGUUUGGAUCCUGAGUGAUCUGCACCAAUAAGAAUGGACAUGAAUUACAUUUUUAAAUUAUUUACAACUUCACAGUGUCUGUGGCUUUAAAUUAUUGAUGCUUGUGACAGCAACUGUCAAUGAGACAAAGCUUGCACUGAAACAGCAGCAGCAUACUGUGGUAUUCAGUGCCUCCAGUCCUUCUUAUUAUGGAAAAAUGUCACUUCUUUCAUUGUAGGAGAGCAGAAAAAAGGAAGCAAGAUCAUUAUUAAAGGAGAAGUUUCCUUCAAGACUCUUUGAUUACAGUGUGUCUCUCAGAACUCUUGGCAUAACAAAAAUGCUCUAACUGAGCAUGAAAGAGACUGGUCUUAUCAGUAAGAGACUGCAU